rnacentral:lncRNA from 1 species
AUUCUUUGCUUGGGCCUCCUACCUCCCACCUGAGUUCCUCUUUGAUCAGUCAGCCACCCUGGGCUGAGUGCCUUGAGCAAACACUGGGUGCUGGCUGUAUGCUGGGGAUACAGAGAUGUACGGGACACGCCCUUGCUGGAGCUCAGAGUCAACUGGGGGACACAGAUGUGUAAACAGACAAGCACACUCUGGUGUGCAACCAACAAAUGCACAGAAAGACAGCUUCUCUGAACAGUCCUGUGUCCUGCAAAGAGAAACCAGACAGAGUUGAGGAGCCCCCGGACUACAGUGCCAUCCCCCUCUCCCAGUGUGGUAGCCUCAGCCAGGUCAGGUGAGUCUGUGCCAAGCUCCCCGCAGCAGAGCUCAGGCCACAGGAAGGAGGCGGCAGGGAGGGCAGUCCUGCUGGCAUCAUGGCCUGUGGCCAGGCCCCGGCGCUGUGAGUCUGACACCUUCACCUCACCCACACCCCAAACUGUCCCUAUUCCAGCACUGCCUGCUCCCCUGCUUACCCCUUGGCCAGAGAAAUGGGACAGGGUCUUUGACACCCAGGUGGGAAGCUCCUCAGCAUCUCUGGGAGACCAGGCGCACCUC